rnacentral:rRNA from 1 species
GCGACCUCAGGAAAGGUGGGGCCACCCGCUGAGUUUAAGCAUAAAGGGCGAAUUCG